CAGCCCUAAACGAUGCGCGUUAGGUGUAUCGGUGACCACGAGUCACCGAGGUGCCGAAGGGAAACCGUGGAACGUGCCGCCUGGGAAGUACGGUCGCAAGGCUGAAACUUAAAGGAAUUGGCGGGGGAGCACCACAACGGGUGGGGCCUGCGGUUUAAUCGGACUCAACGCCGGGAAUCUCACCGGAUAAGACAGCUGAAUGAUAGUCGGGAUGAAGACUCUACUUGACUAGCUGAGAGGAGGUGCAUGGCGUAGUCGGU
rnacentral:rRNA from 1 species